AGGACGAACGCUGGCGGCGUGCCUAAUACAUGCAAGUCGAACGAACUGUGGAAAGCUUGCUUUCAGAGUUAGUGGCGAACGGGUGAGUAACACGUAAGUAACCUAGCUAUUAGGCGAGGAUAACUACUGGAAACGGUAGCUAAGACUGGAUAUGAUAGAAAUAUUUAAAGGAUGUUAAGGCAUCGCUAAUAGAGGGGCUUGCGGCGCAUUAGCUAGUUGGUAGGGUAAAAGCCAACCAAGGCGAUGAUGCGUAGCCGACCUGAGAGGGUGACCGGCCACACUGGGACUGAGACACGGCCCAGACUCCUACGGGAGGCAGCAGUAGGGAAUCUUCGGCAAUGGACGAAAGUCUGACCGAGCAACGCCGCGUGAAGUGAAGAAAGUUUUCGGAUUGUAAAGCUCUGUUAUUAGGGAAGAAAGGCUCUAGGAGGAAAUGCUUAGGGAUUGACGGUACCUAAUGAGGAAGCCACGGCUAACUACGUGCCAGCAGCUGC
rnacentral:rRNA from 1 species